rnacentral:rRNA from 1 species
AUGGCCCCUCACACUCUCUCUUGUGUUAGUGUGCCUCUGCUUGUCUUCUUGGCGUCGUUGACAUCCGUUGCAGCGGCGAGGGGGGCUCGGGCACCCAAAGCCGCUGACCCGUCCGAAGGGUUCACGGCGGUGAGCCUCCGCGAGAGCAACUUUGUGCUGCAGCAGCCGUUCAACGAGGCGAGCGGCACCCGGUACAGUUUCGACGGCACCGUGCGGAAGCUGUGGGUGCUCUCCUCAGACAAGCCCCAUGCCCGCCAGAGCCAUACCAGCCCAAGAACUGAGAUCAGGAUGGCUGGAUACGACUACAGCUCCGGCGUUUGGCAGUUCGAAGCCUACGGGUACGUCCCCUCCGGCACGACGGGGGUGUCCAUCAUGCAGGUGUUCGGCGCCGGCGAGACGGCCACCACGCUCAUGCUGCACGUCUACGACGGCGCGCUGCGGUACUACGACCGGCAGAUCGUCGAGGACGCCAUCUAUGACAGGUGGUUCCGGCUGAACGUUGUCCAUGACGUGGAUGCGUCGACGCUCACCGUGUACAUCGAUGGGCAGCAGAGGCUGCACGUCCACGGCCGCGGGGGCGACUCGCACUACUUCAAGUUCGGCGUGUACGCACAGAACCACGACUCCAGCUGCAUGGAGUCUCGCUGGAAAGGAGUCAGGAUCCUCAAGAAAGACACGUCACACUGA